rnacentral:misc_RNA from 1 species
AACGCACAUUGCGCCUAUUAGUAUUCUAGUAGGCAUGCCUGUUCGAGCGUCAUUAAGUCCACAUUAAGCCUCGUCGCUUAGCGUUGGGAAUUUAUAGCGAUAUAAUUCCUCAAAUUUAGUGGCAGAAGUGAAUCACACUCUGAGCGUAGUAAUUUUUAUCUCGCUUUGGCAGUUAGCUCACCUCUCGCCGUUAAAACACCAUUUCUUUUUUUGGUUGACCUCGGAUCAGGUAGGAAUACCCGCUGAACUUAA